rnacentral:rRNA from 1 species
UUGGAGGGCAAGUCUGGUGCCAGCAGCCGCGGUAAUUCCAGCUCCAAUAGCGUAUAUUAAAGUUGUUGCAGUUAAAAAGCUCGUAGUUGAAUUUUGGAUUCGGCCAAUUGGUCCAUCUUUUAGAUGAGUACUGGUUGUGUUGGGUCUAUCCGCCUGGUGAUACGUAAUGUCCUUUAUUGGAUGUUGCGGGUAGUCAGGACCUUUACCUUGAAAAAAUUAGAGUGUUUAAAGCAGGCUUAUGCCGGAAUACAUUAGCAUGGAAUAAUAGAAUAGGACGAAGUUGUUUUAUUUUGUUGGUUUCUAGGACAACCGUAAUGAUUAAUAGGGAUAGUUGGGGGCAUUAGUAUUCAAUUGUCAGAGGUGAAAUUCUUGGAUUUAUUGAAGACUAACUACUGCGAAAGCAUUUGCCAAGGAUGUUUUCAUUAAUCAAGAACGAAAGUUAGGGGAUCGAAGACGAUCAGAUACCGUCGUAGUCUUAACCAUAAACUAUGCCGACUAGGGAUCGGGCGGUGUUGUUUCCAUGACUCGCUCGGCACCUUAUGGGAAACCAAAGUGUUUGGGUUC